rnacentral:rRNA from 1 species
CCUACGGGGGGCAGCAGUGAGGAAUAUUGGUCAAUGGCCGGAAGGCUGAACCAGCCAAGCCGCGUGAAGGACGAAGGUGCCAAGCAUUGUAAACUUCUUUUGUCAAGGGACAAAAUCAGGCUCGAGAGCCUGACCGAGGGUACUUGAAGAACAAGCAUCGGCUAACUCCGUGCCAGCAGCCGCGGUAAUACGGAGGAUGCGAGCGUUAUCCGGAUUUAUUGGGUUUAAGGGGUGCGUAGGCGGACUGUUAAGUCAGCGGUAAAAGCCCGGGGCUAAACCCCGGCGAGCCUUUGAAACUGGCUGUCUUGAGAUGUCGAGAGGUAUGCGGAAUGCGCAGUGUAGCGGUGAAAUGCUUAGAGAUUGCGCAGAACUCCGAUUGCGAAGGCAGCAUACUGGCGGCGAUCUGACGCUGAGGCACGAAAGCGUGGGUAUCGAACAGGAUUAGAUACCCGGGUAGUC